ACAGCAGUAGCCGCGGGAAUACGUAGGGUGCAAGCGUUAAUCGGAAUUACUGGGCGUAAAGCGUGCGCAGGCGGUUAUAUAAGACAGAUGUGAAAUCCCCGGGCUCAACCUGGGAACUGCAUUUGUGACUGUAUAGCUAGAGUACGGCAGAGGGGGAUGGAAUUCCGCGUGUAGCAGUGAAAUGCGUAGAUAUGCGGAGGAACACCGAUGGCGAAGGCAAUCCCCUGGGCCUGUACUGACGCUCAUGCACGAAAGCGUGGGGAGCAAACAGGAUUAGAGACCCCCGUAGUCCCUGUCUCUUAUAC
rnacentral:rRNA from 1 species